UGCCUUCCCCUCUCUCCCACUCUCUCUCUCCCUCUCGGUUCUCCCCUCUGCCGGCGCCCUGGCGUCGCCGGCGAGCGGCGCCGGCGCCGGCGCCGACCUCUCCUCUCUCUCUCGGCCUCUAUCUCUCUCCCUCUCGCGGCUCUCUCUCUCUCUCUCUCUCGGCUCUCGGCUCUCCCUCUCGCCGGCUCUCCCUCUCGGCUCUCCCCUCUGCCGGUGCUGCUUCUCGCCGGCGGUCUCGCCGCCGUCGACCGAAAAGAUUUGGAUAGAUCGUGAAAAAUGGGGUCGGAAGAGGUUACUUUCGGCGCCAAACGCCGGAAAAACCACCGCCGCCGCCGCCGGACUGCCACCGCCGUCGCCCUGCCGCCGCCGCCGGACUGCCGCCGCCGGUCAGUUUCUUGUGCUCAUAGGUAUCGGGAUUCAAGGUGUGGCUAUUGCGCAAGGUCCGGAAGGCACGGAGAGUAUUUUAUUUUAUUUUUAGAUAUUUACUUAAACGUUAAAUUCGUGUACGGAUUUUUAUUUGAAACUCGGUCUUCACAAACGGACUUUUAUUAUAGCAACCAUCUAUAUUGACUAUUACUAUUUUUUU